GCAUCCUCAGGUCAGCUCCUUGCUGCAGGCCAGGGGCUCCAGGUGCAACAAACAUCAUUGUCAUCACAGCACUUUCAGGUGGAGACAUGAUCCUCCCGUUUUUCAAGCCAGAAGAGCAAGAUCUGAGUCAGUUCUGGGUUACCCAGGACAGGCAGAGCAGGAGCUGGAAAUCACAAAGCCCUAAAUCAAGCUGGAGCCUCCACAGCCAGGCUGCCCAGGACUGAGCUGCUGUGCCCUGAUUUCACCUGCUUCUGACAUCCCUGAAUGUAUGGCCCAUUACAGAAUGUCUGCCUGCUCCUUGGGGAAAACUGCACUUUGGAGAAAGCCCACACACCAUGUGGGAUCUCACCAGAAAAACACAAAAACAAACCCCAGCACGGGGAAGGAAGAAGAGGAGGAAUCAUUUUAAUGAGAAGGAGAGCUGCUCGUGGCUAAUGAGUCCAUGUCUGGAGUCUGUGUGUUUUAAAAUGCCCCAAGAACUUUGCUGAUGAACACAGUCAGUCUGUGUGAGCUGGAAAUACCCUGAGAGCUUCGAGCUCAGUGCUGAGGGUGUGCUGAAAAGGUCAAUGAUUUAAUGGGCUGGAACAAUUAAUCUGGCACUUGUCUAUACACCUGUUCUCUUAAUGAUGUGACACAUCGUCCUUCUGUGUUCCCAUCUGUCAACAAUUAAGCUAUAAUUGGUGGAAAUGCAAUUUAUCUCAGAUAGAGCUGAUUAGUUCUCCAAUAAUGGUGCUGCCAGCCUUGGGGAAGAGUGCUGCCCACGGAGAAGUGUCUGUGGACCACUCCAUCCACAUCAGAGCCUGUGCAGAGAGACUCUCUGAGCAUUCAUUGAUCAACCUGCAACGUGCAAAACCUGCUCUUGCAGAAGGGGCAAAAUCAGCAAAGCUGCUCCCAUUGCAGGGGGGAUGGCUUCCCAAUGGCAGAGGGCAGGGGGAGAUGGGAUUUGGGAAGAAAAAGGGUGCACAGAGAAUCCCUGGAUCCCUGGAAGGGUCCAAGGCCAGGCUGGAUGGGGCUUGGAGCAGCCUGGGAUAGGGGAAGGUGUCCCUGCCCAUGGCAGGGAUUGGAACUUCAGGGUCCCUUCCAACCCAAACCAUUCUGUGAGUCUCUGAAACACUUCUGGUGCUCAAAACUGUCUGUCUGUGCUGUUCUUCUUCUUGUAUUAAUUCAUCAUAACCUGUAGAGAGGCAGGUGGCAUCUCAUCCUCUGCUCAUGUUUUCCAACAUCCUUCCAGACACCAGAAAUGAAAACAUUUCCUUUGUGACUAAAGGUAAAACACAGACUUUUCUACAAACUGCAGAAGAUGGGGGGGG